AAUAUUGCGCAAUGGGGGUAACCCUGACGCAGCAACGCCGCGUGAGCGAAUAAGGCCUUCGGGUCGAAAAGCUCGUUCUAGAGGGAUGAUAGUGACAGUACCACUGGAGGCAGACUCGGCUAACAACGUUCCUGUAGCCGCGGUAAUACGUAGGGUGCAAGCGUUGUCCGGAUUUACUGGGCGUAAAGGGCUCGUAGGCGGUAGAUUAAGUCAGAAGUGAAAGUCCAGGGCUCAACCCUGGAAUUGCAUUUGAAACUGGUUUACUUGAGUGCAGGAGAGGAGAGCGGAAUUCCUAGUGUAGCGGUGAAAUGCGUAGAUAUUAGGAAGAACACCAGUGGCGAAGGCGGCUCUCUGGACUAUAACUGACGCUGAGGCGCGAAAGCGUGGGUAGCGAAC
rnacentral:rRNA from 1 species